UGGGGAAUAUUGGACAAUGGGGGGAACCCUGAUCCAGCCAUGCCGCGUGUGUGAAGAAGGCCUUUUGGUUGUAAAGCACUUUAAGCGAGGAGGAGGCUUACCUGGUUAAUACCUGGGAUAAGUGGACGUUACUCGCAGAAUAAGCACCGGCUAACUCUGCGCCAG
rnacentral:rRNA from 1 species